rnacentral:tRNA from 1 species
GCGCAGCUGGCCAAGCCGCCGCCGCGCGCGGCGCUACGGCCGACGCAAAAGCGCAGCCUGGUGCGCGAGGCGAUCGUACGCCUGCUGCACAC